AUGAGAUUUCUUUCUACGGAUAUGAAGGAUAGAAAUAUGCUAUUUGCUGCUAUUACAACGAAUCAACCAAUUCGUAGUAAGUGUUCCCGUCUUCCCGAUCUACAUGAUUUUUUCCCAACCAACAUCUCUGAGAACUUUGCUAUAAUGCCAAACUUGGAUAUAACGCCAACGCCUAAGCGAAUUGCCGGCGUCACAAUAUUUUUACAAAUAGAAGGGUAUUUGGGCCAAAAUGAGUCCGAACAGGGAGCAGUCAAUUUAGCUAGAACAGUAUUGGGAGCCCGCCACCAAAAUGGCAAAACUUGGCAGGGCAUAUUAGAGGAUAUUCGGGCGGGUGGUGGUAUGGAUAAUUUUAUCCAAAAUCUGCCUGGUGCCUACCCUAAUACCCCAUUGGAUCAAUUUGUCAUUAUCCCAAUAAUUGAUCUUCAUGUGGGCAAAUUUUAUUUAUCAUUUACAAAUGAAGUCUUCUAUGUGCUGCUCACUGUCGUUUUGGUAGUUUUUCUCUUUUUUGUUGUUACAAAAAAGGGAGGUGGAAAGUCAGUGCCAAAUGCAUGGCAAUCCUUGGUCGAGCUUAUUUAUGAUUUCGUGUUGAACCUGGUAAACGAACAAAUAGGUGGUCUUUCCGGAAAUGUGAAACAAAAGUUUUUCCCUCGCAUCACUUUUACUUUUUCAUUAUUUCGUAAUCCCCAGGGUAUGAUACCCUUUAGCUUCACAGUGACAAGUCAUUUUCUCAUUACUUUGGCUCUUUCAUUUUCCAUUUUUAUAGGCAUUACGAUCGUUGGAUUUCAAAGACAUGGGCUUCAUUUUUUUAGCUUCUUAUUACCUGCGGGAGUCCCACUGCCGUUAGCACCUUUCUUAGUACUCCUUGAGCUAAUCUCUUAUUGUUUUCAUGCAUUAAGCUUAGGAAUACGUUUAUUUGCUAAUAUGAUGGCCGGUCAUAGUUUAGUAAAGAUUUUAAGUGGGUUUGCUUGGACUAUGCUAUUUCUGAAUAAUAUUUUCUAUUUCAUAGGAGAUCUUGGUCCCUUAUUUAUAGUUCUAGCAUUAACCGGUCUGGAAUUAGGUGUAGCUAUAUCACAAGCUCAUGUUUCUACGAUCUCAAUUUGUAUUUACUUGAAUGAUGCUACAAAUCUCCAUCAAAAUGAGUCAUUUCAUAAUUGA
rnacentral:rRNA from 1 species